rnacentral:tRNA from 1 species
GGAAGCGAUGAAUUGAAAUCGGCUGAAAUGCCAUGACUAAGGCCAAGUCAUGCCUCUUAAUCAGCGGGUCCUUGGUUCGAGCCCAAGUGCGUCCACCA